GGAUGUGAGGGCCAUCUGGCUGCGACACCUGUCACCCUAUUGAUAGGCAGAGUUGAUUCCGCUGAUCUGGCUGGCUAGGCAGGUGUCCCCUUCCUCCUUCACUGCUCCAUGUGCGUCCCUCCUGAACCAGCAGCUGGGUCAAAGAGGACGACCAUCCCGUAGAGGAGGGCCGUCCCUCAGUCAAGGGCAUACGAGUAGCUGCCCUCCCCUGCUAGAACCUCCAGACAAGCUCUCAAGUUCUCAGACACCUUUACAAUUGGAAAGACUAAUUCU
rnacentral:snRNA from 10 species